rnacentral:rRNA from 1 species
UACGUGGGGUGCAAGCGUUGUCCGGAAUUAUUGGGCGUAAAGAGCUUGUAGGCGGUUUGUCGCGUCUGCUGUGAAAUUUCGGGGCUCAACCCCGAACUUGCAGUGGGUACGGGCAGACUAGAGUGUGGUAGGGGGAGACUGGAAUUCCUGGUGUAGCGGUGAAAUGCGCAGAUAUCAGGAGGAACACCGAUGGCGAAGGCAGGUCUCUGGGCCAUAACUGACGCUGAGAAGCGAAAAGCAUGGGGGAGCGAACAGG